rnacentral:rRNA from 1 species
GAUUAACGCUGGCGGCAUGCCUAAUACAUGCAAAUCGAACGAAGUACUUGUACUUAGUGGUGAACGGGUGAGUAACACGUAUCCAAUCUACCCUUAGGUUGGGGAUAACUAGUCGAAAGACUAGCUAAUACCGAAUAUCAAUAUUACUAUCGCAUGAGAAAGUAUUGAAAGGUCCGUUUGGACCGCCUUUGGAUGAGGGUGCGGCAUAUCAGAUAGUUGGUGAGGUAACGGCCCACCAAGUCAAUGACGUGUAGCUGUACUGAGAGGUAAAACAGCCACAAUGGGACUGAGACACGGCCCAUACUCCUACGGGAGGCAGCAGUAGGGAAUUUUUCACAAUGGGCGAAAGCCUGAUGGAGCAACGCCGCGUGAAUGAUGAAGGUCUUAAAGAUUGUAAAAUUCUUUUAUUUGGGAAGAAUGGUUUCUAGAGGAAAUGCUAGGAAUUUGACUGUACCAUUUGAAUAAGUAUCGGCUAACUAUGUGCCAGCAGCCGCGGUAAUACAUAGGAUGCAAGCGUUAUCCGGAUUUACUGGGCGUAAAACGAGCGCAGGCGGGUUAACAAGUUUGGUAUGAAAGGCUUUUGCUUAACGAAAGUUUGUAUCAAAAACUGUUAAUCUAGAGUGUAGUAGGGAGUUCUGGAAUUCCAUGUGGAGCGGUGGAAUGCGUAGAUAUAUGGAAGAACACCAGUAGCGAAGGCGAGAACUUAGGCUAUCACUGACGCUUAGGCUCGAAAGUGUGGGGAGCAAAUAGG